UAUCGAUUUUCCUAAUAAACUUACUGAGAGCACGCUAACAUUUUGUUUGUUUUAUUGCUCAUGUUGAGCUUGGAAACGUACUAAAGUGUCAGAACCUGCCUCUGUUUUCCAGGCACAUCCGUAAAGGUGCGAAACCUGCACACCAUGAUACACCAGCAACAACAACAACAAUCGUCCUCCCAUCCACCGUUGAACCCAAUAGGCAACUAUAAUAUCUACUCCCAAAUGAAGAUGGUUCCUGACGGUUACAACAACUUUGCCCCACCAGUUCCAACGAUGUCUCUGGAGGAAUCACCUGCCGUGCUGGGUUUCACGUUUCCACUGGCCGUGGAAAACGACAUAGACCGGCUAGAGGUGGCGGUGCGGCAGAGCAACUUGAUUCGGGGACAAUAUGUGCAAUAUCUGAAUGCGACAAAACCCGUCCAGAUGAGUAUCGUGCAAUCGUUCAACAAAUUCUUCUCCGACUACUCGAUGACCAACUUCAGCUACUACGGUGUGGAACGGGCCGAGUAUCCCAAGACCCCGAAGAAGGCCAUGAAAAAGUAUAACGUUUUUACAACGUGCAUGCUAGAUGCCUGGCAAUCGCAUGGAAUUACCAGUAUUAUCCUUGUGGAACAGUUGAAGAAAGCAAUCUAUCACAUAAGCCGAAGGCGGUACACUCGCAAUCAGGUGCUCAAGAAGAAGAUGAGACUUCUGCAAAGGAUUUGAUCCGUUUUAUCCGCACAAAUGUUUUUAAGUUUAUAAAAUAAAAUUAUAUUUUUCUGCUUCCUACAAACUGGUACUUUCGAAAAACUCUUCCACCCCGCCCACCAUUCAGCCAGGUAAUAUUCUAUUGAAUCGGGUCAACGUGCCGGUGCCGGUGAAAACUUCUGCACUUCAGCGCAGGAAAGGUUCCUUGCAAGGGGUCGUUGGAUUCGAAUUUCCUUUGGUUCAUGAACACGACGUCGAACGAUUGGAAGAGGCCAUCAUGGACGACACAGUUCGGGAACAGUAUAUUAGCCACCUGUCGGUGAAUAAGACGUCCACAAUGGAUCUGGUGGAAUGUUUCUCGCAAUUUUUCUCCGACUCGGCAAUGCGAAACUUCAACUGGAACGGAUUUUCGAACCAUCGCUUCCCGAAGAAGGCCAUGCGGAACUACAAUAUCUUCACCAACUGUAUGAUGGGUAAGUUUCCAGCAACGUCGGGAGCGGGAGUUUUCGUUAGUAGUUCCCAAAGGAGAACUUUGUCUCGCCCGUGUAGCUAAUAGCCAAGGAGAACGAAAGCAGGACAGUACAAAGGGGGUCACUCACUGCGGUGGCCAUCGCGAUUUUCUAGGUUACUAGGGGGUCCGAUAAAAGAGUCAAUCUCCUCCCUCUAGCUAAUUAUUAAGGCGAAUCCUCCAGGAUUUCCUUCGGGAAAUCCUCCAGGAUUUCCUUCGGGGAAUCCUCCAGGAUUUCCUUCGGGGAAUCCUCAGGAU